rnacentral:lncRNA from 1 species
CUCCCUCCCUUUCACCCUCUAGCAGUGACCAGGCUUGGCUCUAAGUCUUAAGGGUAUGCUUCCCUGCACUGUAGCCUUAGAGGAGGCAGAGGGUCCCUGGGAUUUCUGGUCCUGAUGGAUACAGGUGCCUGCCCCUCAGUCCUGUCUGCAAGUCCAUCUUGAUCCAUUGUCUCAUGCAAGGCUUGUAUGCCUAAAGCCAAACCUGCUUUGUAUAGAGGUGGAAACAGACCCAGGCAAGCGCAUAUGGCUUGACAUAGGGUGGGCCAGGAGGCAGAUUCUCAUCAGAUUUGGAAGGAAGCAACCAUUUGGACUGCUGAUCUGCUGACUCACCUGAUUGGCAUGAAGCAGCACCUGGACCUGCAAUUGCUGUGCUUUUCCCGGACUCUCCUUCAGUUUUUUCUGACUCCUGGGGCAGGUGUGUGCACGUCUAGCUCUGUGGCUAAGGGUUCCAGCUUCUACCUUCAUCAGUGAGGUCAGAGACAAAAAGAAUAGACACAGGUUUCAGUCUGUUGUCACGGGUCCUCCCUGUGCUAGUGGGGUUUCAGUAUGCUCAUGUGCUCAUGGUGUUCCCCUCCUGACCACCUGCCUGUGGACUUCAAGCUCCGUCAGUCUUGGAGAUACAGCCUUACAGAAACUGCUUAAUCAGCCCCUACAAUUGUGCAAGCCAGUUCCCUGGUUUUCCUUCUCCAUUGAGUUGACAUGGGAACCUGAAGCCCUGCUGACUUCUCCGGCCUCAUGCCCUGUCACAUUGCCCCCACUGCUUUUACCACUACACCUUUCACCAUUCCCCAAACCCAGCAGCCUGUGCUACUGUGGGGCUUCCAGUCUGGAAUGUCCCUACCAGGAACUUUCUGGUUUAUCUGUCCUUCUCCUGCAAGUGACUGAGUCCCAUCGCUGCCUCUGCUCCCAUUCACCCCUAGCUUGGCACAGUCCAAGAGAAGGGGCCCAAUCCAGUAGGUGUUGAAUGAAUGACUGUGGACUAACCCCUUGGCAUAUGAGAUGUUUUGUUCUCCCAUACCUCUGCAAGUAUCACCGCCCCCAGCUUGCAAGUGUGAGUAGCCCUAACAGCAGUUGCUGUGGGGAGAGCCAGG